AGAGUUUGAUCAUGGCUCAGAAUCAACGCUGGCGGCGCGCUUAACACAUGCAAGUCGAGCGAGAAAGUGGAGCAAUCCAUGAGUAAAGCGGCGUACGGGUGAGUAACACGUGGGGCAUCUACCUCUUAGUGGGGAAUAACUCUGGGAAACCGGAGCUAAUACCGCAUAAGCCUGGAAAGGGAAAAGCAGCAAUGCGCUGAGAGAGGACCCCGCGGCCGAUUAGCUAGUUGGUGAGGUAAAGGCUCACCAAGGCAUAGAUCGGUAGCCGGCCUGAGAGGGCACACGGCCACACUGGCACUGAAACACGGGCCAGACUCCUACGGGAGGCAGCAGUGGGGAAUCUUGCACAAUGGGGGCAACCCUGAUGCAGCGACGCCGCGUGAGCGAUGAAGCCCUUCGGGGCGUAAAGCUCUUUCGGCCGGAACGAUAAUGACGGUACCGGAAGAAGAAGCUGCGGCUAACUACGUGCCAGCAGCCGCGGUAAUACGUAGGCAGCAAGCGUUGUUCGGAGUUACUGGGCGUAAAGAGUGCGUAGGCGGUUUCCUAAGUUUGGUGUGAAAUCUCCCGGCUUAACUGGGAGGGUGCGCCGAAGACUGGGGAGCUAGAGGAUGGGAAAGGUAAGCGGAAUUCCUGGUGUAGCGGUGAAAUGCGUAGAUAUCAGGAGGAACACCGGCGGUGUAGACGGCUUACUAGACCACCCCUGACGCUGAGGCACGAAAGCGUGGGUAGCAAACAGGAUUAGAUACCCUAGUAGUCC
rnacentral:rRNA from 1 species